UGGGAUUAAAAGUGGGCACCUCCACCCU
rnacentral:piRNA from 1 species